rnacentral:rRNA from 1 species
AGCGAACGCUGGCGGCAGGCUUAACACAUGCAAGUCGAACGGGCGUAGCAAUACGUCAGUGGCAGACGGGUGAGUAACGCGUGGGAACGUACCUUUUGGUUCGGAACAACACAGGGAAACUUGUGCUAAUACCGGAUAAGCCCUUACGGGGAAAGAUUUACCGCCGAAAGAUCGGCCCGCGUCUGAUUAGCUAGUUGGUGAGGUAAUGGCUCACCAAGGCGACGAUCAGUAGCUGGUCUGAGAGGAUGAUCAGCCACACUGGGACUGAGACACGGCCCAGACUCCUACGGGAGGCAGCAGUGGGGAAUAUUGGACAAUGGGGGCAACCCUGAUCCAGCCAUGCCGCGUGAGUGAUGAAGGCCCUAGGGUUGUAAAGCUCUUUUGUGCGGGAAGAUAAUGACGGUACCGCAAGAAUAAGCCCCGGCUAACUUCGUG